UAAUCACUGGACACUCUGUUUAAUGGGCAGUGAAGCAUGCUGUGAUACUUCUUCAAGGGAACAUGUUAGAGUUGAAUCCUGCUAAAUGGGAUAUGACCUGGAAAGAUUUUAGAGAGAAGCAAUGCUUCAGUCCUUUUUUCACUUCAGUUGGCUGACAAGGUUAAACAGCUGUACUUUCAUGAUGGUGAGGUUAGCUCUAUGCCAGGGAUGUCACUCCUUCUACAUAGGAAAAAUGGAGCAAGCAGUGAAGGAGCAAAUUUAUCAACAUUUAUAUGAAAUUAAAAAAGAGCAAGCUUCCCUGUAUCCCCCAAUUUGGGAGUAAACUCUCACAACUCCUGAACUUAUCUAUACUAACUACAAGGCUGCACCAACUCAAGGAAGUAAGAAAUGUCCCAAACAAACAAAUCAUUGCAGGAUCACACUUAGAAACCAGACCAACAAUGAUUUUCUGUGGGAAGCAGCAUCCAGUGUUAUUCCAUUCUGCAUGCUACUAAUGCUUGAGCAAUUUCACCUCAAGCUACUAAAGAGAAGCCUAUUAAAGUUUCAAUUAAAUAGUAGCUUUCUUGUGUUUGUAAAUAUUAAAGCUAAAACUGCAUGUA